CAGCGGACGGACACGGAGGAAAAGGUCCUGACUGCCACCAGUUGAGUCAAUGAUUCAGUGAGUUGCUUAUAAGAAAAGAUAUUCAUUUGUUGCCACCUAGCAGUUUAAAUGUUUUAUUCAUUGCUGUAAAACUAACAUACUUUUUUUUAAUCAUCAGGUGGAGAGACAGUCUGGGCAGCAGCAACAAGACAACUAUUACAAAUAGAGACGGGUUUCAAACACUGACACAACCACAUAUCAUCUAAAUCAUCUCCAAGUGGAUGUCAGCAAGGAUCCAGGAUCGAGAGAUCGUUCAUCAUGAAGACUGUUCCAUAGGAAGCAGUGAAUCCUGGGUGAAAAAGUCAUCCUGACCAUUCUGCUGUCCUGGACGUGAGGAUAUGCUAAAACUGCAUUUCUCAUGGUUGAAAGAUUUGUGCAGCAGUAUCCAGAUAUACAAACAGCCUUCCUGGACCCACACGACUAAAGGCUCAGGAGGAGAGACAGGUAAUGUCUGCCAAUUCCGAUCUGAUCUGAUACCAGUGCAGUUUUUUUUUAAAUCAGUGUAGAAUUUCUAUAUUUCUGUGUGUUGACCUGGGCCCAUAUUCACAAAACAUCUUGAGGAUAAAAGUUAAUAAGUGUAGGACUAAAUCUGGUAAAAUGUUACACAUUGCUCUUUAUAUUGUUGUAAAAUAAAUUUAUGAAAAACAAGUAGCAUAAAUAUAUUAAUAUAUAUAAAUUAUAUACUAUAAAAUUAAAGGACAUUUCUUUUUAACAUAUAUCACAGUAAUGAAGGCAGCAACAUGUGUGAUAGACAGGACAGAACAAGAAAGACUAAUAAUCUUUAAUUGCGCUGAAGUAUUAUAAUAUGAAAGGGUAUGGCUCCUAUACAGCGCAUAGUGCUUAUGCGCAACCAGUGCACAGAAUGACGGUGCUUGAAGCCACAUAGAGUCACAGCGUUCAGCACUACACAUAGAAAUGUUCAAAACACCAAGGGAAGAGAUAUUGAUGUGCAGUGUAUUAUAUCUGUGCAAUAUUUUGAGCCUUUUCUUUUAACAGUUUUAAAUCUCAGUUAUUGUGUGCUCUUGAAGAGUUUUAUUGUUUUGACUGUAGUAACUAGAGCUGGGACGAUACACUAUACUAUCACGAUACUUAUAUAUAACACUGAGUUCCAAAUUCAGGGUUCCCACGCUUCUUGAAAGUACUUGAAAGUACUUGAAUUUCAGACAUAUGGAUUCAAGGCCUGGAAAGUACUUGAAAACUAACAUAGGUCCUUGAAAGUGCUUAAAUUAAAUUUGAAAUCAGUUUUGUUUAUGCUGAUAUUUUUAAAAUUGUCCGAUAUGUGCUUCUGUCAAAAAACAGAACAAAACACGGGGGGGGUUAUCUGUUUGAUAUCUGACACGAUCGCGCGCAGCAGCGCAAAGUUGAUUCUGUGCUUGCUUGAUCUUAUAUAUA